AAGUUGGAAUAGGAGACGCUAAAUAGAGAACGGUUAAGUUUGUUGAGCGUAUUAUAGGAUUAUAGAGAACGCAUUUCUCUUGUAACAGUUUUGUGAAUAAAAGAAUAGAAAACGGUGAUCUUACCUAACCAUUUUAUAUUAUUUACCAUGAUAAAAUAAAAAAUUAAAUUUAUAAUAACUGAUAAAAUAUAAAGCAGUUUUAUAUUUUAUUUUAUUUUAUUUACCAUACAAAAAACAAAAUUUGUUCUCAUUUACCAUUUUAUAUUAUUAUUUACCGUUUUAUAAUAUUAUUUACCAAAAUAUUUACCAUACAAAAAACAAAAUUUGUUCCCAAAAUAGUUGUAUAUGUAACGUAAAUUAAUGAAUUAAUUCUAAUAAGUUUUUCUUUCCUCCUCAAACAAUUGGAAAACAAGACUAUCAAAGUAUAAGUUGGGCGGAAGAAAACUUUAGCAAUUACUUUGACCCACGCAAAACCAAAAGCCAAAAAUAGCUUCGAUUCUCACGCAAAACCAAGGGAAAAACCGUGCACCACCGCACCGGAUCUCCCAUCCUCUACCGUUGCUCCACUAUAAUGCCGCUCCACUGUAUCGCAACCUCCGAUGAACACCGUCAGUCCCACCGCCGUUGUCAAUUCCGAGGUUAAGGGACAUGUUUGCUUACUGCUAGGUGAAACAUCCAACAAUUAAGGUAGAAAAUAUUCAAGUGUUAUCAAGCACAAGUAUGUAUGGAGGAGUUUGACGCAGUUUGGAGAUAGAGUGUUUGAUUGCUCUUGGGAUUAUUAAAUUUCUGGACCUGAUUUGAUGAAGUUAAGUAAGUUGAGCUCUAUUUAUUUUCUUUUUUACGCCUUGUGAUUUUUUCUUCUAUUUUCGUUUGACUUGUUUUGAUUUGACUAAGCUCAAUUAUGAUAUAGAUGACACCAUUUUGCUCAUGUGAGCUUUAAUCUUAUGUCUUUUUUUCUUAACCCUAGUAAACCCCCAAUUGUUGUACUAUUUGGUUUGAGUUUAGGUCUUCUACAGGGUAUAGAAAGUUCUGUUUGUUUUGAAUUUUUUCCUAGAUUGAUUUUCAAGGUCAUGAAAGAUUUUUUUAUUUGGUCAAUUCACUUGGUUUUUCCGAUAUAGAUGCACUCCCAAACGGUUAUGUCUAUCACCUUGGUGAUCAGGUCUGGCUAAAACUGGUUGUUAUACAUAUUCAAUCUUUGCACUUGUGUUUAUGUUGAAACAAUACAUGAUGCUAUUUGUGUCUGCCCAUUUUGGGAACUGUUGGCCGAAACCUAUCCGAACUUCCUAGGUUACAAUAAAAAGCAUCAUACAAAGCCAAUUUACAAUAAAAUUCCAUGACAAGUUAUAUAGCAAAGUAACGUGGCAAGGCAUGCUGUAAAUGAUACUUCUCUUCAAUGUCUUCAAACCAUCAGAAUAUCAGAUACCACAUUCUACUCCCAGAAACUCGUCCCUGAACCCUCUUCCAUCAUCAACUUUUCUUCUUCCUCAUCAUACCCAAGUCCCCAACUAAGAAGAUUCGCAGCAUAAGGCGAGCUCGACAAUACCUCAAAGGCCCUUGUCGCUGGAUUUAUUAGUAGCAACUCUUCUUCUUCAUUCCUGACUAAUUAACAUUUUUAUUUGGUGUAUAUUCCCAUUAUUUACUGUUACAUUUAUGACUCUUACAUUUUAACUUGUCUUGUAGUUUUUUAACAAAGCACCCACGUACUCUAAAAAUACGAUUGACGAGCUAAGGGAGAGAUGGAUCUAAUACGUUACCGAAUAUCACCAACCAAAUUACGAAGAUGAUGAUAAUGAUGAUCUAGUGUGAGUUGGGCUAGCUCAAGGAGAUGGUUACCUAUCUAUUUUUUUUAUUGACAUUGGAAAGAAUUUUGAUUUUUGUUGUCGUACCUUGCAUACUCAUGAUCUAGUGUGACUUAAGCUAGCUGAGAUGGUUGUUGCAGAGUCUGUUCCUGCUGCAGACGAUGUUGCUGCAGACGAUGUUGUUGCUGCUGUUACGGUCCUGUUACGCUGCUGUGACGCUGCUGAUACUCGGUUGUACCUGCUGCAGACUCUGUUGUACCUGCUGCAGGGGCUGCUGUUGCUGGAGAAUUUGAUCGCUGUUGCUGUUGAGUUUUUUAUUUUUUUUAUUUUUACAGUGAUAUUGGAUUUCUAUUUUUGCCGUACCUUGUGUAGAUUUUUUUUUUCCGUACCUUGUGUAGAUCAUUUAUUUUGUUAUUGAAUGAAUGAAUAAUAUUAUUUUGUUAUUGAAUGAAAGGAUUUUUGGAAA